AAUAGAUACCCCGGUAGUCCACCCCGUAAACGUUGGGAACUAGUUGUGGGGUCCAUUCCACGGAUUCCGUGACGCAGCUAACGCAUUAAGUUCCCCGCCUGGGGAGUACGGCCGCAAGGCUAAAACUCAAAGGAAUUGACGGGGACCCGCACAAGCGGCGGAGCAUGCGGAUUAAUUCGAUGCAACGCGAAGAACCUUACCAAGGCUUGACAUAUACGAGAACGCCGUAGAGAUACGGAACUCUUUGGACACUCGUAUACAGGUGGUGCAUGGUUGUCGUCAGCUCGUGUCGUGAGAUGUUGGGUUAAGUCCCGCAACGAGCGCAACCCUCGUUCUAUGUUGCCAGCGGUUCGGCCGGGGACUCAUAGGAUACUGCCGGUGACAAACCGGAGGAAGGUGGGGACGACGUCAAGUCAUCAUGCCCCUUAUGUCCAGGGCUACACACGUGCUACAAUGGCCGGUACAAAGAGCUGCAAAAGCCGUGAGGUGGAGCGAAUCUCAUAAAGCCGGUCCCAGUUCGGAUUGGAGGCUGAAACUCGCCUCCA
rnacentral:rRNA from 1 species